AUUAUACUCCCUCCGUCCGGAAAUACUUGUCGGAUAAAUGGAUAAAAAUGGAUGUAUCUAGAACUAAAAUACGUCUAGUUACAUCCAUUUCUCCGACAAGUAGACGGAGGGAGUAGUAA
rfam:Triticum aestivum genome assembly, contig: Triticum_aestivum_CS42_TGACv1_scaffold_603107_7DL